UACGUAGGGGGCAAGCGUUGUCCGGAAUCAUUGGGCGUAAAGAGCGUGUAGGCGGUCCGGUAAGUCGGCUGUGAAAGUCCAGGGCUCAACCCUGGGAUGCCGGUCGAUACUGCCGGACUAGAGUUCGGAAGAGGCGAGUGGAAUUCCUGGUGUAGCGGUGAAAUGCGCAGAUAUCAGGAGGAACACCUAUUGCGAAGGCAGCUCGCUGGGACGUAACUGACGCUGAGACGCGAAAGCGUGGGGAGCAAACAGG
rnacentral:rRNA from 1 species